UGUGCACAUGAUGAGAAACCAUAUGCAACUCACGACGGUCGUCUGAGACACUCUGUGUGUAAUGGUGCAUUCAUAUGUUAUCUGAUGCCU
rfam:Triticum urartu cultivar G1812 contig917483, whole genome shotgun sequence.